ACAUUGUUCUGGAAAGUACCAAUAUGCCCUUCUGCUUCAUUAUGUUGCCACGUGGAACACUUCUCCUUCAUUCUCUCUCUUCUUCUACCUCAAAACAUCUUCUAACCACAUAAUAAACCACUUUAUUUUUUCUCUCUCUUUCAUUUCAUAGUCUCUCUUUCUCCUUCUCAGAAAUCUCAUCUUUCCUCUCAUAUCACUAACCCUAAACCCUCUUCUUUCUUCUCAUUCUACUUCUUCUUUCAAGUAACCAAAAUCUUUUAUAGUUUUUCUCUCACAUAUGAAUUUUGUUGUUGUUAUUGAGUGCUAAAUCUAUUUUUUAUUUGAUUUGCAGGUUUUCUCUCAAAUCUAGAUUUUUGUUGUUAUUGUUACUGAGCAUAUUUUCUCUCGGAUCUGGGUAAAUAUGGUUUUAUUGAUUCAAUUUUGUUUUCAUUUCAGUUUCUUUUACAUAUAUUUGAACUUCAUUUGGGGCUACAGAUGCAUUCAAGUAACAGAUCUGAAAGGGAUUUGAACAAAUAUUCCUCUCUAUUCUUGGUCAGACAUGUUCUGACAAUGAAGGAGGUUGAUUCAAAAGAAGAUAAAAAGAUUGAUAUGGAAGACUGGAAAGAUUAUAUGGCAAAAAAUUAUUCUCUUUUAAGAUUGAUAGUUAAUUUUAAAUAUUAUAUGAUAGAUGUAUCUAAAAUUAAAUAAAU